UACACAUCCUCAGCACAGCUCUGCGAUCCUUCAUGCCCAGACCAGCCAAUCUGAUCAGGGAUCUGCAAAAGUUUAGGGUUUUCGGUCUUUGCCCAGCCGGUCACCUGCCCCUUCAGGCCGUGGGGCAGCACCUUUUUCUGUGGGAUCAGCACCCAGAGGGCAGCUGUACCCCUGACGCGGCUGGGCUUGGUAGACAGCUCACAGCAGGAGCAAGUGGCGGGGCAGCCAAGCCGCGGGUGCCUGGUGCCGCCCUGGAGACCCUGGGCAGUGCGCCCUGCGUCUGGGCUCGGGCACCUGGUGCCCAGGUGGUCCCGCGGCGGGAGGCGGGGCGCGCGGCUCAGCCUCCCGGUUGCCGCAGAGGGUGCCCUGCGCCCACGCCCGGCGUCCGGACACACCCGUCCGCACCACACCCAGGAGGUGCGUGUGAGUCUCAGGGAGACGUUGCCAACUCCGCCUGAGUCCGCUUCUCGAGGGGUCUCGAGGGUCACAGACGAGAGACCCGCGCCCAGGCGGCGCCCACCGCUCCGCUCGGGGCUCUCCAGCCGUCCCCGCCUGCAGCCCGCCGCCCAGGCACCCGGGAAGCCAAGCCCCCCAGGAACCCCCCGGGCGCCCCCGAGCCCUGCAAAGGGGCCCACGCACCGAGCAGUGCCCGGUGCCCUCGCCCCUGCCCGAACCGAGCCGCCGCCAGCAGGCUAUCUCAUCCCUUCUGCACUGACUUGACGUAACCCUUCUCUCAGAAUCAAAGCCGUCCCAAGAAGUGCACAGUCACUUGCGUCGGGGGAGGGGCCCUGUCCAGUCUCCUGAGAUCCCAGAGGCAAAGAUGAACUUGCAUCUCACCAUCCACAGCCACACCUAGACCUCCUUGCUGCCAAUGACACAUUUGCAAGGCUGUCCGCAGGCCCUGGAUGGAGACAUUCAACACAAGUGGAGGCACUGGUCAGCCUUGUUUUAGAGAGAAAAUGAGCAGAAUGUGAGUGGGGCAGACCAGCCAGAGGAGCACAGCACAGAUUUGUCAAAGGACAAGAGCAGCUUCUCUUAUCUUCCUGGGUUUCUCCUUCCCUUUCUUUCUGACUCUCCCCAGCCCAACUCAGGAAGCAUCUCCCCGUAUUUUCAUCGAGAGAGUGAAAACAGCGUC